UUACCACUUACACUUACCACAAGCACUACCACCACCACCACCACUUCCACUUACCACUUCCACUUACCACUUCCACUUACCACUUCCACUUACCACUUCCACUUACCACUUCCACUUACCACUUCCACUUACCACUUCCACUUACCACUUCCAUUACUACCACGACUACCACUAACCAUCACCACUUUCAUCUCCAUUCUUGUCAUUAUUGGCUUGUUGUACGUUGUUCAAAUGUUUCAACGUAUGUACAUUUGUGACUACGAUUUCUUGUUAGCGAUAUAAACGAAGAGGAUAAAGACUUUGGAGUAAAUAAUUUUGGCCGUGCCACUAGCAUAAUGUAUUUGUGCGUCUAGGUAUCCUUAGCGUUGCAAGUGGAAAGUGGCUUCACACUAUAAAUGGUUGACACAGCUAAUACAUUAGACAUAAACUUUCUCAGCAUUCACGAACAGUAAAAAUACUAUUGGUAAAUGAUUCAUGGAUAUAUAGUAUUAGUAUUUGGCAUUCGUUUCGCUUAUGAAUUGUGAUUGAACCGAUAUCGUAUCAUCAUUAAAAGUUUCCUGUACAUCUUCUACAUCAUUCAAACAUGUGGAAGAAUCAUAAAUUUCACAAAAAUAAUGUCUCAAUCGCAUACGUAUUGUCUGCUCUGACUUGGCUUGUCUUCUGUAUGUGAUCCAAAUAGACGAGAAUGUCAAUCCAUCAUGUACGACCAAUCACACUUCCUAUAGCUGAAACCGAGUGCAAAUGCUUUUGUAGCAAUCAUGAU